AAAUUUCAAGUCACAGACUUAUUAUGGUUUUACCAAAUAUUCUUCAACAAGAAGCCUUGUUCAGCAAGUAUAACAGUUCUUAAUGUCCUAGUUGUUUUCCUGAUGCUAGUUCUAUAUGAUUCUGUUACACUCACAAGUUAGAAAAGUGGCAAUUGCUGCAUAACAAGAUGAGGUUAUGCAGCUAUGCUUUAUUUGAGAUAUUAUUAUUAUUUCAGAUAUCCUAACUAGCAACAUACAGGAUAAUUCAAGACAGACACACUGGCUGCCGGAGGUGUCCAACUCACUUAGAGGACAAGAAACUGACUUAACAAAUGGCUCAGAUAUUUGCCAAAAGGCAUAUUUACAGCACAAAACCAUAUCAGCCCAUGCUGACUCAGAGGCUGGAAUAUUUUGCUCGUUCAGGACAACAACAAUACAGGCAUGCAGCUGAGGAGAGAUGGCAUAUGUUUUUGAUUAUGUUUUACCUUCAAAAAAGUAAGAACCUCACAACAACAACAACAAAGAAAGAGAAUUCCCAGGAAACGUUCACUCCAACUUUGAAAAAUAAUGAUUUAUCAGGAAGCCAUGAAUCUAAUGAAUUCUCGUUAUUCUGUUUUCUGAGUUUCUGUAAGGUCAGACAGAUAUAAUUGUCUUCCACACUAAUGUUGUUGCUCCAUCCUAUUUUUCUCUACGUGCAAUCAUUCUCUAGGUACAUCAAUUUUUGGCAGGUUUGUUUUAGGAAAAGGUAUCUGUAGCAAAAAUGCUGAGUCGGCUUGAAGCAGUGAUUGAGCACCUGGUGGGAAGGCAGGCACAACUCAGAGGAGCUCAGGUGCAUGCAGUGUAUCUGAAUGACUGGAAGGACUGGAGCCAGGAUCCACCCCUUCUCAGAUCUCAUUUAAGGGCUGGCAGCCCAGGUAGGUGUAUUUUGCUGGAGAUCUUUGUGUGCCUGAGGCCUUCUGAAGGUAAGUAGCUACUUUCCUUUAUUUCUGUGCCUAUAGCUGUUGCAUUUGAGAAGUUCCUCAUUUUCUGCAGCUUAGGACCUUGCUGCUCUGCUGUCAUUGCUGUGCUUUCCAUCAUAUUGCAUUAUCAUACGCAAAUAUUUUUUGAGGUGGUUGCAGAGCACCACUGAAUUUUGUUGUGCGAGGUGAUUGUUAGUUUUAAGUUUUGUGGAAGUUAGUGAACUUCCACAACUGUUUUGUGGGCAAAAACCUGGAAGUUCAUGUACCUAUGACGUACAGUAGAUGAUUGCUAUCUAGUCAGCUGAACUGUCAGAACUGUACAGAAAUAAUAUGGGAAGUGAGACAAAUCUUCAACACAAGAUAUUAGAAGGGAAGAAUUAAUGAGAGAUGUACUUACUGGAGAUGAUAUUUGCUGUGGUCUUUCUCUCAUCACAGAGUGGGUAAAGAGGGCGUUCUGCAUCACAGUCUUGUGCUGUUGCUUCGUAAGAGAGCCAGGAGUAAUACCUUAGCACAGCACAAAAUGGAAGUGGGAAGUAAGUUCUCUUAUUAGUCAUUCUCUUCUUUUCCUCUCUAGUGAUGGCAGAAUGUUUUGUUACUUUAGUUUGUGAAAAAAGAGCAGGACUAAGAAAACGUUAUAUAGGUUGUACAUAACAAAUGUUUAGAGAGGAUGACUCUGGAUCAUAUUUUUGUGUGUUUUUUUAUUAUUAUUAUUUAAUUUAACUCUGGAAUGGCCAAAUAUGAAAGGAAAUUACCAGAUAUUCUGGUAAUUCAAAGUGUAAAACAUUCUAACAGAAAAAAGCUUUGUAUUAACUAGAUAGUAAAUUAUUACUUUGUUGGUUUUCAAGAGGUG
ensembl:lncRNA